AAAUAUGUAAAUUAAAAAGCUAAGUGAUUAAUAGUUAAGAUCUUUAAAGCUAAAUAAUUUGGCGGUAUUUUUACUUUUCAGAGGAACCUGUUCUAUAAACGAUAAUCCACGAUUAAAUUAACUUUAAUUAAGAAAUUUUUAUACCGUCGUUGUUAAAUAUUUUUAUAGAAAUUAAUAUUUAAAUAUUUUUUAAAAAUUUAAAUCAGAUCAAGGUGAAGUUUAUAUUAAAGAAGAAAUGGGUUACAUUAAAUUAUAUUUAUGGAUUAAUAUAUUUUAAAAAUUUUAUAAAAUUGGAUUUGAACGUAAUUAAAUAAUAUUUAUUUUUAAUGAUUUAGUUCUAAAAUAUGU
rnacentral:rRNA from 1 species